GGAGUCUCGUGCCCGCCGGAAAUCUUCGAGCGAAUUUUCUCCAGAAAAUUUAUGGAAUCUACCAAAAACAUGGUUUGUUUAGGAAAUUCUUUCCAUGGAAAUAUGGAAAGCCAAGUUUAACAAGCUAAGUGAGUUCCAGCUGUAAAGGCCUUGACUUGGGGCAGUAGAUAGGACUCCCAGAUUGCUUGCAAAACUUGACCAAUUCCAUAUCGCUAAGGAACACCAAUGACAUAUUGUCCAUCUAGGGACAUCAGAAAGAUACAGAGAAGAUUAAUAUGGCCCUUGUGCAAGGAUGACAUGCACAAAUUGAAAAAUGGUCCAAAUAUUUUUUCUGCCCUUUGCCCCAUAAUUAAUUAGUUCCCAUUUUCCCAAAAUAUCCCUGCAAGUCAAAUCCUAUUUGUUUGAAAGAAGAUGUUGAUUGAAUGGUUAUAAAAUUGUUCAGCUAACUUAAGCUUUGGAUUUAGAGAUCUUGUGAGAAUUCUUUUUUCCCGCCCUUGCCCCAAAAAGCCUAACUCUCUCUGAGAAAAUCUUCCCAUUUUGCAUCCCUAUGGUGAGUCCAUUUACCAAAGGCAUGUCUUAAUCAAAAGCCAAAUGCAAAAACAGAACAUGGUAGAAUCUGCAACGGUUGCCUACAUCAUUUGUGGAUCCAUUUCCUCCAUUUUUAGCUAUCUGGGUAUUGGAAUUUUCUUCUAAAUCUGUAUUUGGAAUCCUGAUUUUCAGGUUGAUUUUUCUUUUCUUUGAUUUUGUGCUGUGGUGGUUCUUCCUUUUGUUCUGUUCUGUUAAACAGAUAAAAAAUUCAGAGAGAUUGAAACUUUGAGACUGGGUUGCAAUAUGAAAAUGAAGUUGUGGCUUGCUUUAGUGAAGAAGAAGAAGAAUGGAGAACAAAAGGAAAAACUGACACAAAAUCUCAGAAUGACACAGGUUUAGAAAGGAGUUAGUUAUUCUAUUUUUCUUGACAGAAGGUUGCUUUCCUAUCUGUUUAAGAAACUCUGGAAAAAAUCAAAUAAAACUCUGAAUUUAUGGCC